ACAGAACCCUAUAAAGCGGGUUCAUUAAGCAUGAUUAUCCCCACUUUACACCCAAGGAAACAGGGGAGCAGGGAUAAUAACAGGUAAGACAUGACAGUAAUCAUCCUAGUUAUUAAUGUUUAUCAUGUGCCAAGCUCUGUGCUAGGCGCUUUGCAAUUGUUACCUUGUUUAAUGCUCAAACUGAUGUGGUUCCCAUUUUACAGAUGAGGAUGCAAAGCCACGGAAAAAUGCCCAGUCCAAAAACUGGAGCUGCAGCCUGACUUUGGAGUCAAGCUCUUACCUGCCUCUUACACUGUACUGACAUGUGAACGCAGGUCAGAUAAAAGACAGGCAGGAACAGAUUCUGUCUUCUCUGAUGCCCUGGGCAGUGUUCUUUCUGCCACAUCACACUGGCUCUGAUGUCCUGGUUCAGCACCUGCAGGUGACAGGAGCCUGUGCUGGUGGGCCUGUCUUUCCUGUGAUUUAGAUACUGCCAUGUCUAGAGCCGCACCAUCCGAUGCAGUGUCCACGGGCCGCAAGGAGCUCAGGGCCCAGGAAGUCUGGGCAGCCCCCCGCCACCGAUGGAGCCCCCUCACCCUCACGCUGUGGAGGACAACCCCAGCUCGGAGGGGACGGCCAUUGCCCAAGGUCACCACAUGGUGGCCGAUUCUGAGCAAUAGGUGUGCAGCACACAGGCUAAUGCUGGGUCUCACCCAUGAUGGCACUUGGAGCCUCACGCUGACCAGAGGGCACACACUGCGCUUUCUCUGCGGGAAUGAAGUGGAACGGACAUGGAACGAGGAACAUACGUGGAAAAUGCCUGUAUCAUAAACGUAUGAAUUUCCACAAACUGAAGCCAUCGUGUGACCAGCACCCAGACCAAGAGAAAGCUUAUCGCCAGCUCCUGAGAGGCCACCUUUCCAUCUUAUCACUCAAUCCAUGGAGAGACCAUUACCUCCUGGGACUCCUGUGAUGAACGUACCGUUGGUUGCUAAGCCUCUUCAGCGGGGAAUUCAUGUAAUUUCACUUUUUCAUCUCUUCCAAUGACUAGAGGAGUGCUGGGAAUACGCAAGGUCCUCAAGUAAGUAUUUGUAGCCUUGGGGAAAAAAAUGUUAGUAGAAGAUAAAUUCUGGGAAAAUAAAAGACCAUGUAAAAGGCUGAGAUCUAAUCAAUUCUUCUUGCCUACAAUGUAGCAUAAGUUUCCUGACAAUACAACUAAAAAUACAAAUAUUAUGCUAUUAACCGCACACUUGUCUCCAUGUUCAACCCUUCAAAGCAAUAUUGUGGUUAUACCUUUGAUUGUAUACAGGCAAUGUUCCUGACCACUCGUGCACAGGAAAUAAAUAUUUAGCAGUAAGGAACAAAAUCUGUUUAUUGCAGCUUUUGGUGGCAGAGUAAUUUUCGUGGGGAA